GAGAGCUGGAAAGGGCUCGCAGAGAUGAUAUAAUGUCGUGGAUUUCAACUUUUCGGGGCCAUAGACACUUUUCAGAAAUUGAUAAAACGUUGACACACCUUGUAAAAAAUGAACACAUUAAAAUUAAGCCUGCAGUUUGAGGUAAUGGAGAAGCACUGGAGAUUUGUAAGCCACGGAGUCAAAUGGUGGACUGGGAUUUUCAGGAGAUCAUUUAGAGAGCAAGAUCUUACCAAAUCCUUUAGUCAUGGUCUAUUUCGUUGCACUCAUAUGGUUGUUACUGCGAAGGUGAAGAACUAAUGACUGCAGCAGGAAAAAGAAUUGGAUGUGUCAUGAAUUAUGGCCCUGCUUAUACUUCUACUUCAACCGUAAUCAUUUGUUUAAACAAAAAGUUCUGCAUUUGAAUUGUCACAAUUGUGUGUGUGUUAUAAACAUCUCAUAUUUCAUCCAGGCUCAGCCAACACUUGCCUUUAUUAAUGCUCAUAAUCAAGAAAUAAAAUCUCAUACUAACCAA
rnacentral:lncRNA from 10 species